rnacentral:tRNA from 1 species
AGCUUUAUAUUCAUAUUUGUAUGAUAAUAGAAUGCAAUUCUAUAGGAGUAAGAUGAUUACUAAGGCUU